ACACACGCAAAGAACAGGAGUAGUAAAAAGAAAGCUACCACAAUCAGAGAGUUGCGGGAAGGUGCGACGCAAUACGGUAGAUGGUCUUUUGAACUCGCCUGGGAGCGGAAGUAGGGAACAUGAUGAUAGAUGUCAUCAUCGUACUUACUUACGGGUCAUUCCCGUCAUCCAAUGCUGAUCCAGUACAUAUGCUUAUUAUCUAUGUACAUGUACUGGAUCAGAUUAAGCGGGAAUCAAUACGAUUCCAACAAGAGUGGUACCGCGACAGCAUCGUCUGGCGUCUCUUAC
rnacentral:ncRNA from 1 species